rnacentral:lncRNA from 1 species
AAGGUGCUCCCUAAGAAGGCUUGAUCGUGGGAGAGAGAUCAGGAAGAGGAAGGAAAAGAGACAAGUCUUGCAGACAAUCAAAGUCUCAAAAGAGCAAAAGCAGGAAGGAAGCCAGGUGCUACUAGUGCAACGAGAUCGAACACUUUAAACGAGAUUGUCCGUAGUGGAAGAACAAGAAGGGAGAUAAGGGAGGAUCUGAUGCGUUGAAUAUGAUGGCUGAU